UGCUACACAUGCAGUCGACGAUGACCCGGAGCUUGCUCUGGGGGAUUAGUGGCGAACGGGUGAGUAACACGUGAGUAACCUGCCCUUGACUCUGGGAUAACCUCCGGAAACGGAAGCUAAUACCGGAUAUGACGCACGGAGGCAUCUCCUGUGCGUGGAAAGAACUUCGGUCAAGGAUGGACUCGCGGCCUAUCAGGUAGUUGGUGAGGUAACGGCCCACCAAGCCUACGACGGGUAGCCGGCCUGAGAGGGUGACCGGCCACACUGGGACUGAGACACGGCCCAGACUCCUACGGGAGGCAGCAGUGGGGAAUAUUGCACAAUGGGCGCAAGCCUGAUGCAGCAACGCCGCGUGAGGGACGACGGCCUUCGGGUUGUAAACCUCUUUUAGUAGGGAAGAAGCGAAAGUGACGGUACCUGCAGAAAAAGCACCGGCUAACUACGUGCCAGCAGCCGCGGUAAUACGUAGGGUGCAAGCGUUGUCCGGAAUUAUUGGGCGUAAAGAGCUCGUAGGCGGUUUGUCGCGUCUGCUGUGAAAUCCCGAGGCUCAACCUCGGGCCUGCAGUGGGUACGGGCAGACUAGAGUGCGGUAGGGGAGAUUGGAAUUCCUGGUGUAGCGGUGGAAUGCGCAGAUAUCAGGAGGAACACCGAUGGCGAAGGCAGAUCUCUGGGCCGUAACUGACGCUGAGGAGCGAAAGCGUGGGGAGCGAACAGGAUUAGAUACCCUGGUAGUCCACGCCGUAAACGUUGGGAACUAGAUGUGGGGACCAUUCCACGGUCUCCGUGUCGCAGCUAACGCAUUAAGUUCCCCGCCUGGGGAGUACGGCCGCAAGGUAAAUA
rnacentral:rRNA from 1 species